rnacentral:rRNA from 1 species
GAGGGUGAUCGGCCACACUGGAACUGAGACACGGUCCAGACUCCUACGGGAGGCAGCAGUAGGGAAUCUUCCGCAAUGGGCGAAAGCCUGACGGAGCAACGCCGCGUGAGUGAUGAAGGUCUUCGGAUCGUAAAACUCUGUUAUUAGGGAAGAACAUAUGUGUAAGUAACUGUGCACAUCUUGACGGUACCUAAUCAGAAAGCCACGGCUAACUACGUGCCAGCAGCCGCGGUAAUACGUAGGUGGCAAGCGUUAUCCGGAAUUAUUGGGCGUAAAGCGCGC